GAUGAACGCUGGCGGCGUGCCUAAUACAUGCAAGUCGAGCGAACGGACGGAAGCUUUCUUUUCUGAUGUUAGCGGCGGACGGGUGAGUAACCCGUGGAUAACCUACCUAUAAGACUGGGAUAACUUCGGGAAACCGGAGCUAAUACCGGAUAAUAUUUUUAACCGCAUUGUUCAAAAGUGAAAGACGGUCUUUCUGUCACUUAAAGAUGGAUCCGCGCUGCAUUAGCUAGUUGGUAAGGUAACGGCUUACCAAGGCAACGAUGCAUAGCCGACCUGAGAGGGUGAUCGGCCACACUGGAACUGAGACACGGUCCAGACUCCUACGGGAGGCAGCAGUAGGGAAUCUUCCGCAAUGGGCGAAAGCUUGACGGAGCAACGCCGCGUGAGUGAUGAAGGUCUUCGGAUCGUAAAACUCUGUUAUUAGGGAAGAACAUAUGUGUAAGUAACUGUGCACAUCUUGACGGUACCUAAUCAGAAAGCCACGGCUAACUACGUG
rnacentral:rRNA from 1 species